GGGACAUCAACUGUUUGCAGUCAGCGAAUUAGCAGCAGGAGGGAAUCGGAAUUUUACGUUUGUCGGCAGAAAUCUGGGGGGAAGAACCACAAAGUUCAUCCGCCGUCGUCGCACGCAUGAAUGCUUCACAACCGUCGCUGUGA